rnacentral:rRNA from 1 species
UACGAAGGGGGCGAGCGUUGUUCGGAUUUACUGGGCGUAAAGGGCGCGUAGGCGGCCCUCCUAGUCGCGUGUGAAAGCCCCGGGCUCAACCUGGGAAUUGCGCGCGAAACGGGGGGGCUUGAGUUCGGGAGAGGAGCGUGGAAUUCCCAGUGUAGAGGUGAAAUUCGUAGAUAUCUGGAGGAACACCGGUGGCGAAGGCGGCAUCCUGGACCAAUUCUGACACUGAGGAGCGAAAGCCAGGGGAGCAAACGGG